UUUCCGUAGGUGAACCUGCGGAAGGAUCAUUAUCGUAAAACCGAUGUUCGAGGGCUGUCGCUGACCUUUUCGGUCGUUCACGCCCUAGCGCUCUCACACAAUCAAUCUCACCCCUUGUGCACCACCGCGUGGGUCCCUUUCUGGCUCGUCCGGAGGGGGGCUCCCGUUUUCACACAAACUCGAAGUAUUGUAGAAUGUCCUUUUUUUGCGAUAACACGCAAACAAUACAACUUUCAACAACGGAUCUCUUGGCUCUC
rnacentral:misc_RNA from 1 species